rnacentral:rRNA from 1 species
GAUGAACGCUGGCGGCGUGCUUAACACAUGCAGGUCGAACGGUGAACGAGGGAGCUUGCUCCCUCCGGAUCAGUGGCGAACGGGUGAGUAACACGUGAGCAAUCUGCCCUGGACUCGGGGAUAAGCGUUAGAAACGGCGUCUAAUACCGGAGACGAGACGCAAAGGCAUCUUCAGCGUCUGGAUAGAACUUCUGUCCAGGAUGAGCUCGCGGCCGAUCAGGUAGUUGGUGAGGUAACGGCUCACCAAGCCUACGACGGGUAGCCGGCCUGAGAGGGUGACCGGCCACACUGGGACUGAUACACGGCACAUACUCCUACGGGAGGCAGCAGUGGGGAAUAUUGCACAAUGGGCGCAAGCCUGAUGCAGCAACGCCGCGUGAGGGACGACGGCCUUCGGGUUGUAAACCUCUUUUAGCAGGGAAGAAGCGAAAGUGACGGUACCUGCAGAAAAAGCACCGGCUAACUACGUGCCAGCAGCCGCCGUAAAAC